rnacentral:rRNA from 1 species
GACGAACGCUGGCGGCGUGCCUAAUACAUGCAAGUAGGACGCUGAAGGAGGAGCUUGCUUCUCUGGAUGAGUUGCGAACGGGUGAGUAACGCGUAGGUAACCUGCCUGGUAGCGGGGGAUAACUAUUGGAAACGAUAGCUAAUACCGCAUAAUAGUAGAUGUUGCAUGACAUUUGCUUAAAAGGUGCAAUUGCAUCACUACCAGAUGGACCUGCGUUGUAUUAGCUAGUUGGUGGGGUAACGGCUCACCAAGGCGACGAUACAUAGCCGACCUGAGAGGGUGAUCGGCCACACUGGGACUGAGACACGGCCCAGACUCCUACGGGAGGCAGCAGUAGGGAAUCUUCGGCAAUGGACGGAAGUCUGACCGAGCAACGCCGCGUGAGUGAAGAAGGGUUUCGGAUCGUAAAGCUCUGUUGUAAGAGAAGAACGAGUGUGAGAGUGGAAAGCUCACACUGUGACGGUAUCUGACCAGAAAGGGACGGCUAACUACGUG